rnacentral:rRNA from 1 species
CGGACGGGUGAGUAAUGUCUGGGAAACUGCCUGAUGGAGGGGGAGUAACUACUGGAAACGGUAGCUAAUACCGCAUAACGUCGCAAGACUAAAGAGGGGGACCUUCGGGCCUCUUGCCAUCGGAUGUGCCCAGAUGGGAUUAGCUAGUAGGUGGGGUAACGGCUCACCUAGGCGACGAUCCCUAGCUGGUCUGAGAGGAUGACCAGCCACACUGGAACUGAGACACGGUCCAGACUCCUACGGGAGGCAGCAUG